UGAUCUUCUUCGUUUUCAAAGUCAUCACAGGCUACAAAAUAGAGAUAAAGAAGAGAAGGGUGUGAUGAAUCUGAUUCCAGCAUCGUGGAAAAUACUAUGGGAUGUGUGGGAUGUUCGGAUGCUGGUUCUACUUAGUUUCACUUUACAAAUCAUUCUUUUUGUCUUUGGCAAACGUUGAAAGAAUAUGUCAUCACAAUGGAUUAAUGCGAUUGUCAGGUUGGCCUACAGAAUGGCCGAUUGGGUGGCAACUGUUGCCCUUGGCAAGCUCUCUUAUGCCCAAACUAAUAUUCCUAAUCCCAAUAAUGCAUUACAGGCAUUAUGGGCACCUUUGCUUUUAUUGCAUCUUGGUGGCCCAGACACCAUAACUGCUUAUUCUUUGGAAGAUAAUCAAUUGUGGAUAAGGCAUCUUUUGGGCAUGGGUGUUCAAGCUAAUGUGGCAAUUUAUGUCAUUGUUAUGUCUUGGAGGCAUUUCUGGUUUUCAUUUAUGUUGAUUCCGGCAUUCGUGGCUGGAAUUAUUAAGUAUGGGGAGAGAACAUGGGCUCUUACGUUAGCAUGCCAUGAUAAAUUUGGAUACAUUGUACCCUUUUAUUAUCUAAUGGCUGGCUCUAUGAAAGACAAGGAUAGAUAUAAAAAUGUUUUAAUUAUGGCCCACAUGAUGGUGAAGAAAUUUAAACGUUAUAUAGAGAAUUAUGACAUUGGUAGAUUUAGUUUCGAAGUACCGCAUAGGACAUCUGAAGAACCAAAAUUUCUGGCUGAAAUGAAUCGGGAUGAUGAUACAUGUUUGGGGGAUGUAUUGGAGGUUGAAAUGGGGCUAAUGUAUGAUUUAUUAUACACAAAAGUAGCCAUAACAUUUACCAAGAGAGGGUGCAUUUUUCGCUCUAUCAGCUUCAUGUGUACGGUGUCUGUGUUGGUAGGACUCUUCCGGCUUAUCGCCAUGAAGUGAAGUGGCACGAGCAGCACUACUCCAUGGUUGAUAUUGUCAUCACAGGGGUAUUAUUGGUCGGAGCUCUAGCUUUGGAGAUUUAUGCAAUAAUUUUGUUAUUAUUCUCUGAUUUGGCGAUGAUUUGGCUAAUUAAGUGCGGCAAAGGCAAAUGGGCAAUCCGAUUGUGGUAGAAAUUUCCUUGGUUUUUUGAAAAGAAGAAGUGGUCUAAAAAGAUGGGGCAAAUCGAUCUAUUCGAAGAGGAAGACAAGCGUCCAAAAUGGAGUAGAAUACUUGGGAGGUUGGGGAUUCAAGACUUGUUCAAUAGGUACAUGCAUAGUAUCCCUCGGAUGCUAUAUCCUAUGAUUAUACAAUUUAUUUAUCAUGCCGCCGACAACUCAAUUGACCUUGGGAGUCUUGAGGGGUUCUUUGGCUCUAUAGCUUUUCAUGACCAAAUUAUUAUUAUGCACCUCAUAACAUAUAUAUUAUACCGUUUUUCUAAUGAUACUAGUAAGUCAGAGUCAGAUUUAGAGUCGGUUACAGGCACUUCCGAAAAUAGUGCUUACUCAUGUGCACAUCAUGAUGAAAAGGAAACAUGCAAAACUCUAUCAAAUUACAUGAUGUAUCUACUCCUCACCUGCCGUUCGUUGUUGCCUGUUGUUAUAUCGGAUAGUGAGUCGAUGCAUUGGAUACGCAUUCUCCGUAUUUGUUUCAGAUGACGGAAAGGACUAGCAGGAGAAGAAGUACGCAAAUGGUCUCUCGCGGAUAUGACAAAUUUUCAAGGAAGUGGAUCCUGAUGAACAAGUUGAAAAAAGACAAGGAGUCAAAUUGUGUUAAAUAGUUUUUAACG